AUGUCGGUGACAUCCACAGCAGCCAGAACCUCUACAUCCAGAAAUCAGCAAAGCAAGAGAAGAGGCACUACAAGAACUGUGACUCUGCUCCUGCCGAGACCUCAACGACUCCAGACAGCAAAUACAGAAAUGGUCUCUUCUCCGAAGAUGGCCUGGAGUCAGGAGAAAGAGGUGCUUGGAAGUCAGGCCCUCCCAUAUUUCAGCACCGGUGCUGCUAUGUCCCACUGUGAAAACUCGAGUUCCAAGCCCUCCACACUUCCUGCUAGCAAGUGGAGCUGAGGAUACACAAGAAAUAGACGAAUUCGUCUGGAAGGAGUGCGGUCAAGAUCUUGGCAUCUAGAGUGGAGACCAUAAGAACCACCCGAAUGUGGGAAUGGCUUUGGCACAGAGUAUGGGUGGAAACUGGAGGAGCGGAGAGGAUUCUGAGGGAAGCUUUAGUGAAAUGUGGAAGUUCAGUGAGCACAUGGUUUAUAUGACAGAAACAGAGAGCUUCAUAGCCACUGGAAAUCAGCUGGGAAGAAAGGUCGCCGGUGAGCUGAGUGGCCCAGCGGAGAAUAUGGCAGCCAGGGUUAAGUGUUAACCAGCUUCUUCCUAGGGACAAUAACCAAUACAGUGUAUUUCAGUUCUCUUGUAGUUAUAACCAAAUACUUGACACACAUCCUAAAGGGAACGCACAUAUUUUAUGUCUUCACGAACUUCCACCCAUCCAUAGCUCCAUUGACUCUAAGCCCUUAGUGAAGCAGAGCAGCGCUGUGGUAGACAAGGUGGCUGUUCACUUCACGGUGGACAGGAAGCAGAGAGAAAGACAAACUUGGAACCAGGUAUAGCCUUCAAAGUCGGGCCCUAGUGACCACAUCUCCCAAAACCAUGUCAUCUGCUGAGGACAAAGUAUUUUAGAGGCGAGCCCGUGAGGGACAAUUCGAUCUCGAACCACACCAGACUGGUAUGUGAUAGACUUGAGUGAUGGCUGUUCUUGGUUGUCAGCUCUAGUACAUCUGGAAUUAACCAAAACCCAAAUGGCUAGGCACUCCUGGGAGGGAUUUUUUUUUCUUAAUUAAAUCAAGUGGGAAGACAAAAUCCUAAUUCAAAUCUUUGAGGCGGGAAGACCCAUCUUUAACCUGGGCCACAUCUUCUGCUGUCAGCCUACAUAAACAUGAAGAAGUAAACACUCACUCUCUGCUUGUUCUCCCCUUGCUGGCCAGUCUAUUCCUUCACUGCCAUUAGAGCCUACUUCUUCACAAGUCCAGUAUCUGCUGAAGACCGGCUGAAACUCCAGCUUCCUGGACUGGACAAUUACCAGAUUCUUGUACCUUCCAUUGGUGGACAGCCAUUGUUGGACUAGCUGGACCACAGCCUGUAAACCAUUCUAAUAAAUCCCC
rnacentral:lncRNA from 1 species